ACUUCCUUUUAAAAGAAAAGAAAGAAGUCAUGUACCUAUUUUGUAGGAAUCCUUCUUAAAAGCUCCCAGGGGUUUUGGUUCUUGAUGAACACUAAAACUGAAGUACUUGUGGUAGAUGGAACAUAAGAUAAGUAUAAUUUCAUUAAUACUUCAAGUUCAUGUAGAAUCAAUUUGUAGUCUUUUCAAAAUUUUGGACUUAACAGUGUUCUUCUCUUAAAGAUUGAGUAAUAUCUUAUUCUUCCUCUGCCUCUCUUCUAUGCAUUGAGUAAAUAUGUUUUAUGCAGGUUUUUGGGAGAAACCUGUCAU
rnacentral:misc_RNA from 1 species